rnacentral:tRNA from 1 species
UCCCCCAUGGUGUAAUCAGGCAGCACUGCGGGUUUUGGUCCCGUAUGUUCAGGUUCGAAUCCUGAUGGGGGAGCUA